GCAAGACCGUGAGGUGGAGCAAAACUCAAAAACUUGUCUCAGUUCGGAUUGUAGGCUGAAACUCGCCUACAUGAAGCUGGAGUUGCUAGUAGUCGCGAAUCAGCAUGUCGCGGUGAAUACGUUCCCGGGCCUUGUACACACCGCCCGUCACACCAUGAGAGUUGGCAAUACCCAACGUACGUGAUCUAACCCGCAAGGGAGGAAGCGUCCUAAGGUAGGGUCAGCGAUUGGGGUGAAGUCGUAACAAGGUAUC
rnacentral:rRNA from 1 species